rnacentral:lncRNA from 1 species
GAUGAAGUAGAGCAGAGCUGGGAGCUGAGGACCUGGACCAAUGACUUUGAGGGAGAGGAGCAAGGGGUCCUGGGUGAGAAGGUCACAGAGUGUACUGAGCAGAUAUUGUCAUCCUAAAUGGGAUCCUUGUCACCUGUCAUCCUAAGUGGAUCACACUCCCACUUAUCCAGAGCUUGCUGUGGGCCUGGCAAUGGGCUAAACAUCUGCCAUGUAAUCCUCACAGCACAGAAGCCAGUUCCAUCAUCAGUCAGGCUCACACAUGAGGAUGUGGAUGCCCAGAGAGGCCUCUGCUGCAUUGCCAGUGGGGAGAUGCUACAGGAAGACAGACUGUGGCACAGAAAAAGAGGGAUGUACAAAUCCACCUGACCAAAAAAGCAGCCUGAUCCUGGAGGGGGUGAAAUGCCUGACACUGGAGAUGGUGACAUAGGUUUCCUUUUAAGAAUAAAGCAAAAAAAAAUUCUGAUAAGAGACUUGAAUAUAUAAGGAACUCUUAUAACUCAACAAUAAAAAGACAAAUACAAUGAAAACAUGAGCAGAGAAUUUGAACAGACAUUUCUCCAAAGAAGACAUACAAAUUGCCAAUAAGCACAUGAAAAGAUGCUCAACAUCAUUAGUCAUUAGGGAAACACAAAUCAAAACCACAAUGAGAUACCAUUGCAUUUCAAACUACAAUGUGAUUAUCACUUUACUAGAACGGCUAAACCUGGUGAAAUUGGAAUGCUUGUACAUCACUGGUGGGAUUGUAAAAUGGUGCAGCCACUUAGGAAAUAGUCCAUCAGUUCCUCAAAAAGUUAAACUUGGUGUUGUCACAUGACCCAGCAAUUCCUUUGCUUGGUAUAUACCCAAGAAAAAUGACAACAUACGUCCAUACAAAUACUUGUACACAAAUAUCGAUAGUAGCAUUAUUUAAAAAUAGUCAAGAAGUAGAAAAAACUCAAAUGUCUGUCAAUGGAUGAAUGGCUGAACAAAAUGUGGUAUGUACAUACAAUGGAAUAGCAUUUGGCCAUAAAAAGAGAUGGAGUACUGACACAGGCUGCAACAUGGGGAAUCUUGAAAACCGUGUGCUAAUUGAGAGAAGACAUUCACGAAAGGUCACCUAUUGUAUGAUUCCAUUUAUAUGAAAUGUCCAGAAUGGACAAAUCCAGAGAAAAAAAAGUCAGUGGUUUCCAGGGGCUGGGGUAGGGAAGAAUGGGAAGAGGCUGAUAAAAGGUACAGGAUUUCUUUUUGGAGGAAAUGAGAAAUGUUCUGAAAUUCAAUAGCAGUGGUGCUUGCAUGACUCUGUGAAUAUACUAAAAACCACUGAAUUAUACAUUUUAAAAGGGUGAAUUUGGCCGGGCUUGGUGGCUCAUGCCUGUGACCCCAGCACUUUGGAAGGCUGAGGAGGGAGGGUUGUUUGAGGCCAGGAGUUUGAGACCAGCCUGGACAACAUAGCAACACCUCAUCUCUACAAAAAAAUACAAAAAUUAGCUGGGCAUGCUGGCUCACACCUGUAGUUCCAGCUACUUGGAAGACUGAGGCAGGAGGAUCACUUGAGCCCAGGAGGCCAAGGCUGUAGUAAGCCAUGAUUGUACUACUGCACUCCAGCCUGGGUGACAGAGUGAGACCCUGUCUCAAUAAAAAAAGGGUGAAUUUUAUACUAUGUGAAUUAUAUCUCAAUAAAGCUGUUAUAAAAAUAAAGUGAAGAAAAAUGAUAAUUUAAAGAAAAAGGCCAACAGCCCCAGUACAGGGACACAUGGAUCUUUGGCAAAGUCAUAGAAGACUCAUGUGAAUGACUGAAGUUGGUUUGUAGGCUUAUAAGGAUAAACUGCAGACAUCCUAGUUUAACAUUGAAGACCUAUGCUUAACUCUAGCUUCGUGUGCUGCCCUUUUUAAAAUGACUAUGUUGACCUUAUCCCUAUUUCUGGAACACUUAGGAAUCUUUCAAGCUGCUUUGUCUUUGCAAAUUUUGGGCCCUCCCUGGGAUGUCCCUUCUCCUUUUCUUCAUCUGGUUGAACCCAAGUCAAUAUAGGUGGGCUUGAUAGGGGAUGGGGCAUGUGCCAGGCACUGAGCUUGGUGCUGGUGAGACAGUGCAGAGGACUAAGACAGAUAUGGUCUGGGGCCUUGGCUGGCUCCCAGACAGGGUGAGGAGACAGAUGAGGACCUGCCACACCCACACUGGGCUGCAGGAAUGCAGUAGAAGAACCUAACACAGCCUGAGAGAUCAGAGAAGGCUUCCCCAGAAAGGGACGCUUCAGCUGAGUAGUUGGCCAGGCAAAGAAGAGGGGAGGAGUGCCCCAGAUGGAGGGAACAGUCUGGGCGAAAGCCUCAAGACAGCGCGCAGCAAGUUGGAGGAAUCCUCAGAAGGUGGGUGUGGCUGGAACACAGCCCAGAAGGUGGUGAGUGCUGAGAAACGGUCCUAGAGAGAAAGCCGGAGCCUGGGGAUCAGGGCCCUCAUAGGCCAUGCCAAGGAAUCUGGAUACUUGCAGAGCUCAGUUAGAUUGCAUACAACGCUAGCUGGGUGUGGUGGCGCACCCCUGUAGUCCCAGCUACUCAGGAGGCUGAGGCAGGAGAAUCGCUUCAACUCCAGAGGCAGAGGUUGCAGUGAGCCGAGAUUGCAUCACUGCACUCCAGCCUGGGCAACAGAGUGAGACUCUGUCGCAAAAAAAAAAAAAAAAAAAAAAAAAAAAAGAUUCCAUACAACUCCAAAUGAUGGCUGUUUGACUAUUUUUUCUUCACAUCACGGAUCACCCCUGCCGUUAUACAUCCAUCUGUUGAUUGUCUUUCCCCCUACUAGAAAGGACAAGGACUUUGUGCUGUUCACUGCUGUGUCCCCAACAGCCAGAAGAGUGCCUGGCUCACACAGACACUCAAUAAAUACGUAUUGAAUGCAUGACUUUACUGGCCUGUGUCCUCUGCUUACUGAGUUAUUGAAAGUCAGGGACCUGUUGGAUUCAUCAUUGCGUCCCCAGGGCCUAGCACAGAGCUUGAUGCACAUGCUGUUUAAUAAAUAUUGAAAGAAUAAAUGAAUGGAAAAACGUCUUCCCCAAUGUGUUACACACUCCCGCAGGGCCGGGACUAUUUGAUUUAUGUAUCUAGCGC